AGAAGUGCAACUAGCAAGUUUUUAGACAUGAUGUCAAAUCAUUACAUAAUUUCAAGUUUUUAAAACAUCAUAUAUCAUCGCAUAAUUUUAGGUUUUUGAAACAUCAUUGCAUAUAUCAUUAUGCAAGCUAGCAAGUUUUUUGAUAUGAAAGUUAGCAAAUUUUUGUAUCAUUUUAGAAUAUGCAAGCUAGUGAGUUCUUUCUUCUCUUUU
rnacentral:lncRNA from 1 species